ensembl:snRNA U6 U6 spliceosomal RNA
GUGCUCACUUCAGCAGCACAAAUAUUAAAACUAGAAUAAAAAAGAGGAGAUUAGCAGAUUAGCACAGAUCCUGCAUGAGAAUGACAUGCAAAUUUGUAAAACAUUCCAUAUUUUU